UCAGACAUUAAUCUUGUAAACCCUCUUCACUCCAUACUUAACCCAAAAUAAUAAGAUUAUAUUUAUUCAACCAUUAUGAAAGUACACAUUUGUACACUUAUUGCCGUACUUUUAUUUGCUGGCUUUUUGGACCAUGCCAUGACCCAGAUUCCGAACUUUAUGGCAUGCGCCAACAAUGAAGAGUGCGAAGACAUCUGCUACUCCCGCUGUGAAGAACCAAAUGAGGCUCUCUGUAAUCAAUUUGAUGUCUACUCUAUAAUAUGCGUGUGUGGUCCAAUACUUGUCGAUUAAGCUGGUCAUGAGUCAUGACAGACGCAUACUUGGUUAACAUGAAUUUUGUGCACCCACACGUGUACAUCCUAUAGAUAUUUAUUUUAUUAAGAUCAAAAUGUUCACCAUUGCGUGAUAGAUGUAAUAAUAUAAUAUACUUAUGUUGCUUCA